rnacentral:rRNA from 1 species
UACGUAGGGUGCAAGCGUUAAUCGGAAUUACUGGGCGUAAAGCGUGCGCAGGCGGUUCGCUAAGACAGAUGUGAAAUCCCCGGGCUUAACCUGGGAACUGCAUUUGUGACUGGCGGGCUAGAGUAUGGCAGAGGGGGGGUAGAAGUCCACGUGUAGCAGUGAAAUGCGUAGAGAUGUGGAGGAAUACCGAUGGCGAAGGCAGCCCCCUGGGCCAAUACUGACGCUCAUGCACGAAAGCGUGGGGAGCAAACAGG